ACCAGAGCCCUUUGGCUAAUGGCACCCUAUUCCCUUUGUAGUGCACUACUUUUAACCAGAGCCUAUAGGGUAGGAGUCCACUCUGUGAAAUAGGGUGCCUUUUGGAAUGCUGCCAGUGUGUUUCUAAACCAUCAACGCUUGGGCUUGUCCCAAAUUACACCCCAUUUCCCAAGCUAGUGCACUACGUGGGGGGAGAGGGGCGUUAGGGUGUGGUUUGGGACUCCUUGUGUUUUUAUCUGUAAAGGUGUAUAUUUUAAAGCUAGAUGGCUGAGUCCUGUGAGGGCUGUCAUGUUGUUUUCCAGACAUCUUCUCCAGGAGACGCUUCAUGUCUAUUAUCCUGUUCAACUGCCUCUGGCUGUUUGUCCCAAUGGGCACCCUAUGUAGUGUGAUACGUUUGAACAGGGUUCAUAGAGUUCUGGUCAGAAGUAGUGCACUAUAUAGGGUAUAGUGUGCCCUUUGGGACAUAGCUUCUUACUUAUGUCCAGCCCUACACUCUAGGUUGAACCCUAACCCCUACACUCUAGGUUGAACCCUAACACCUACACCCUAGGUUGAACCCUAACCCCCUACACUCUAGGUUGAACCCUAACCCCCUACACUCUAGGUUGAACCCUAACCCCUACACCCUAGGUUGAACCCUAACCCCCUACACCCUAGGUUGAACCCUAACCUCCUACAUCCUAGGUUGAACCCUAACCCCCUACACUCUAGGUUGAACCCUAACCCCCUACACCCUAGGUUGAACCCUAACCCCCUACACUCUAGGUUGAACCCUAACCCCCUACACUCUAGGUUGAACCCUAACCCCCUACACUCUAGGUUGAACCCUAACCCCCUACACUCUAGGUUGAACCCUAACCCCCUACUGUAGCUCAGUUGGUAGAGCAUGGCGCUUGUAACGCCAGGGUAGUGGGUUCGAUUCCCGGGACCACCCAUACGUAGAAUGUAUGCACACAUGAUUGUAAGUCGCUUUGGAUAAAAGCGUCUGCUAAAUGGCAUAUAU